UCUAAAAUUGUCAUCAUGAUCCUAGCAAAUACUCCUCAAAUUACUGUAAAUUGUUGCACGAUUAGGGGCUAGUGUAGAUGCAAAAUAAGGUUGCACUUUUAGAGGAGAUAAGCCACUGAUGUUGGAUGCUUGGUAGUUGUCUUGUGUUGUGUGAAUGUCGGUACUAGCAGUAUGUCCGUGAGCAACAAGCAUACGAUUUGUGCCUAUGCUCUACUGUAUUGGCCUCAUGGGUCAUCGUUGAUUGACCAGGACUAUAGAUUAUUCCUUCAGCGUACUAUCGCUUUCUCAAGUCAACUCAAGCAACAAUUCAUGUGGCUCGCUCAAUCGGUCAGAGAGCUGAACGGGGCGAGGCUGGAGGCGUCAGUGAGGGCGUACGGCGGCGCCGGCCAGAGCAAGGUGUCCAACAAAUGGUUUGUAAGUUAAAAUGAUGCCCAGGGUUCAGGACAUGUGUGAUUUCUCUUGACAUAGGUGCUCCUUCAUUGCCGCUGCCAUAUGCCAGAGCCGGCAAUGAACUCCUGG